rnacentral:misc_RNA from 1 species
UGGCUCUCGCAUCGAUGAAGAACGCAGCGAAAUGCGAUAAGUAAUGUGAAUUGCAGAAUUCAGUGAAUCAUCGAAUCUUUGAACGCACCUUGCACCCUUUGGUAUUCCGAAGGGUAUGCCUGUUUGAGUGUCAUUAAAUUCUCAACCUUUUGUGAUUUUUUGUAAUCACAAAGGCUUGGACUGUGGAGGUCAGUGCUGGCUUAUCGUGUCGGCUCCUCUGAAAUGCAUUAGCGCUCCCAUGUGGAUUAGGCUUUGGACUGAUAAUUAUCAUCUAUGCCAACAGCACUAUGACGCUUGAGUGACUCACAUAUUACAUUUGACAAUUUGACCUCAAAUCAGGUAGGACUACCCGCUGA